GCCAGCGUGGUGUAGUGGUUUGAGCACCGGACUACAACUCUGGAGAUUAGGGUUUAAUUCUCUGCUCAAGCA